GACGAACGCUGGCGGCGUGCUUAACACAUGCAAGUCGAACGGAAAGGCCCUGCUUUUGUGGGGUGCUCGAGUGGCGAACGGGUGAGUAACACGUGAGUAACCUGCCCUUGACUUUGGGAUAACUUCAGGAAACUGGGGCUAAUACCGGUUAGGAGCUCCUGCUGCAUGGUGGGGGUUGGAAAGUUUCGGCGGUUGGGGAUGGACUCGCGGCUUAUCAGCUUGUUGGUGGGGUAGUGGCUUACCAAGGCUUUGACGGGUAGCCGGCCUGAGAGGGUGACCGGCCACAUUGGGACUGAGAUACGGCCCAGACUCCUACGGGAGGCAGCAGUGGGGAAUAUUGCACAAUGGGCGGAAGCCUGAUGCAGCAACGCCGCGUGCGGGAUGACGGCCUUCGGGUUGUAAACCGCUUUCGCCUGUGGCGAAGCGUGAGUGACGGUAAUGGGUAAAGAAGCACCGGCUAACUACGUG
rnacentral:rRNA from 1 species